rnacentral:rRNA from 1 species
GACGAACGCUGGCGGCGUGCUUAACACAUGCAAGUCGAACGGAAAGGCCUGCUUUCCCUUGUGGAUUGCGGGUGCUCGAGUGGCGAACGGGUGAGUAACACGUGAGUGAUCUGCCCCCAACUUGGGUAUAAGCCUGGGAAACUGGGUCUAAUUCCCGAUAGGACUGCAGGGUGGUGCCUGUGGUGGAAAACGAUUUUCUAGUGGUUGGGGAUGAGCUCGCGGCCUAUCAGCUUGUUGGUGGGGUAAUGGCCUACCAAGGCGGCGACGGGUAGCCGGCCUGAGAGGGUGGACGGCCACAUUGGGACUGAGAUACGGCCCAGACUCCUACGGGAGGCAGCAGUGGGGAAUAUUACACAAUGGGCGGAAGCCUGAUGCAGCGACGCCGCGUGGGGGAUGACGGCCUUCGGGUUGUAAACUCCUUUCGACCGCGAGGAAGCCACCUGGUUGGAAGGGUGGUGACGGUAGUGGUAGAAGAAGCACCGGCUAACUACGUG